GACGAACGCUGGCGGCGUGCUUAACACAUGCAAGUCGAACGGAAAGGCCCUGCUUUUGUGGUGUUCUCGAGUGGCGAACGGGUGAGUGACACGUGGGUAACCUGCCCUUGACUUUGGGAUAACUUCAGGAAACUGGGGCUAAUACCGGAUAGGAGCUCCUGCUGCAUGGUGGGGGUUGGAAAGUUUCGGCGGUUGGGGAUGGAUUCGCGGCUUAUCAGCUUGUUGGUGGGGUAGUGGCUUACCAAGGCUUUGGCGGGUAGGCGGCCUGGGAGGGUGACCGGCGACCUUAGGCCUAAGGGAGGGACCAGAGUGCUACAGGAGGCAGCAGUGGGGAGUAUUACACAAUGGGCGGGAGCCGGAUGCAGAAACGCCGCGUGCGGGAUGACGGCCUUCGGGUUGUGAACCGCUGUCGCCUGUGACGCAGCGGGAGUGACGGUAAUGAGUAAAGAAGCACCGGCUAACUACGUG
rnacentral:rRNA from 1 species